UGAUAACACCGCAUAAGCGCACAGGAUCGCAUGAUCUAGUGUGAAAAUAUUUAUAGGUAUGAGAUGGACCCGCGUCUGAUUAGCUAGUUGGUGAGGUAACGGCCCACCAAGGCGACGAUCAGUAGCCGGCCUGAGAGGGCGGACGGCCACAUUGGGACUGAGACACGGCCCAAACUCCUACGGGAGGCAGCAGUGGGGGAUAUUGCACAAUGGGCGAAAGCCUGAUGCAGCGACGCCGCGUGAGUGAAGAAGUAUUUCGGUAUGUAAAGCUCUAUCAGCAGGGAAGAAAGACCUCGUAAGAGGGGAUGACGGUACCUGAGUAAGAAGCCCCGGCUAACUACGUGCCAGCAGCCGCGGUAAUACGUAGGGGGCAAGCGUUAUCCGGAUUUACUGGGUGUAAAGGGAGCGUAGACGGUGUAUCAAGUCUGAAGUGAAACCCCACGGCUCAACCGUGGGCUUGCUUUGGAAACUGGUAGACUAGAGUACUGGAGAGGUAAGCGGAAUUCCUGGUGUAGUAGUGAAAUGCGUAGAUAUCAGGAAGAACAUCAGUGGCGAAGGCGGCUUACUGGACAGCAACUGACGUUGAGGCUCGAAGGCGUGGGGAGCAAACAGGAUUAGAUACCCUGGUAGUCCACGCAGUAAACGAUGAAUACUAGGUGUUGGGAGACAUAGUCUUUCAGUGCCGGCGCUAACGCAAUAA
rnacentral:rRNA from 1 species